CUUGCUUCUUUGCUGACGAGUGGCGGACGGGUGAGUAAUGUCUGGGAAACUGCCUGAUGGAGGGGGAUAACUACUGGAAACGGUAGCUAAUACCGCAUAACGUCGCAAGACCAAAGAGGGGGACCUUCGGGCCUCUUGCCAUCGGAUGUGCCCAGAUGGGAUUAGCUAGUAGGUGGGGUAACGGCUCACCUAGGCGACGAUCCCUAGCUGGUCUGAGAGGAUGACCAGCCACACUGGAACUGAGACACGGUCCAGACUCCUACGGGAGGCAGCAGUGGGGAAUAUUGCACAAUGGGCGCAAGCCUGAUGCAGCCAUGCCGCGUGUAUGAAGAAGGCCUUCGGGUUGUAAAGUACUUUCAGCGGGGAGGAAGGGAGUAAAGUUAAUACCUUUGCUCAUUGACGUUACCCGCAGAAGAAGCACCGGCUAACUCCGUGCCAGCAGCCGCGGUAAUACGGAGGGUGCAAGCGUUAAUCGGAAUUACUGGGCGUAAAGCGCACGCAGGCGGUUUGUUAAGUCAGAUGUGAAAUCCCCGGGCUCAACCUGGGAACUGCAUCUGAUACUGGCAAGC
rnacentral:rRNA from 1 species